rnacentral:rRNA from 1 species
GACGAAGGGGGCUAGCGUUGUUCGGAAUUACUGGGCGUAAAGCGCACGUAGGCGGUCCGUUAUGUCGGGUGUGAAAGCCCUCGGCUUAACCGAGGAAGUGCAUUCGAAACUGGCGGACUUGAGUACCGGAGAGGGUCGCGGAAUUCCCGGUGUAGUGGUGAAAUACGUAGAUAUCUGGAGGAACGCCGGUGGCGAAGGCGGCGAUCUGGCCCAACAUUGACACUGAGACCCGAAAGCAUGGGGAUCAAACAGG